UAUUCAUCCCUCAAUAUGAGAGGCGCGGAUGGAUAACUCCUGAGGUUAACACUUUAGAGUUCAUUUCAUGCCAAACCACCACGUGAGGGUGAACUCAGCCAACGCCAAGGAACAAAUAUGUUUUCAAAACAGAAACAUGAUUUAUGCAUGCAUAACUUUUUAACAGCCUUGGCGGUCUCGGUUGGGAUAACCCUCGGCCAAGGUGUCCUUGAUAAUUGAGUAUGAAAAUGAUUUUGGCAUGAGGCAAAGUUUUAAGAAAUCCAUAAGCCAUGUUGAUUACUCGAUUUAUAUGAAUUGAUUUUAUUUGCUUGAAAUGAUUUGAAAGGUGAUGAAUUACAGUAUGUUAAACUAUUUUAUCUGUCUCUAUUUAACUUAGCUUUAGAUAUUUUAGAUAGUAUUUUUUUACUCACUGGGAUUAUAUAAUCUCACCACCCUCCUUUCCACCCAUUUCAGUCUCAGGAUAGUCGAUAAAUAGCUCAUUUCGUUGAGGGCUAUAGUUGGACUUGCAUCCUCAAAAACUGUAGGUUUACCGCUUUUGAUACUUUUGGUCGUUUGUGGGCCCACGUGUCACUGUAAAUUAAAUUUUAUACUUUGGUUAUCUGUAUUACAAUAUGUAUGAAUUUAUUUAGCUUUUACGCUAUAAAAAUUAUUUACGUAUAACUCUAAAAAUAUUAUUUUAUAAGAAAAUAGAAUAUUUUAUUGAAUAUUACUUUUAUUUUUUAUUAUAUCCAAAUAAUCAUAAUUUCAUUUUAAAUGAAGGUUUUAGAUGUUUAAACUUAUUUUUGAUUAUGAAUUAUGUGGUUUGUACACGCAUACUACAUUUUUAACGGAUUUCGAGAUUUUUGAGAAAAAUGACCAAAAUGCCCCUAUGAGAAAAAAAUUAUUUUUCUAUUGUUUUGAUUUGGAAAUAGCUUAUAAUCUCUCAAAACAUGAUACUUAACAACUAUUGCUCACAAGGGAGGUGCGAUAACUAAUAUUAAAGCCUUGCGAGGUUCCGGAUGGCAUUUCGAGCGAUGAAUGUCUAUCGGGAUGUCGCGACGGUUGUCACGGGCUCGAGAGGAGUACCGAGUCAUGACAAUUAGAGUGGUAUCAAAGCUUUUGGUUUUAAAGAUUAGAGCUUUUGGGUUUAAAUUUGUUUUAAAAACUACAGUGUCAGUGUGGCCCAAGUUAAGUUAAGUUAAGUUAGGUUUGAUACAAUAGAAUACGUGCAUCUGCAUAUAGAAUUUGGAGUUGUUUAGACUCAUUUUGUUUCUUCUUAUGGAUCUUAUCGGAGCAUAAGUCAUAGACAAGGAGCUAUAUGAACUCUUGUUCCCAGUAAUCCACUUCCUUGUUAAUGUCAUGCAAAGGUCAUAAGUAGGGCCGUUGUCUGGGUUUAAGAUGCCACCCGUGACACGAGCCAAUGUUAGAGAGAUCUUAAAAUGAAUGCUCCUAAUGAAAGAUUAAUGAAAUGAUAUAUCCCUUCGAUAAAGGAUGGAGAAAUUUAGAGUUGGACUAAUAGGCCGUGAUAAUUUAUUCAUUUGGUGGAGUUAUAAUUGAACUCAUGGUUGUCAAUUGGAAAAAGAUUUACGGACUAUGGAUUGUAUUGGGGCCAAUAUAAAGGAGCACGUGUGAUAAUGGUAAUAAGGGGUGCACUUUGAUAAGAAUGAAUAGUGAUGGUUGUAAUUCACUUGGAGUCUAUAAAUUAAGCAUUGAGGUAAGAGUAAACCCUUACUUAUGUGCAUGAAGAUAAAAGCACUAUGUUAAUGGAGCUUGUUAUGCCCAUAUAAAAGUGGUGUUGGGAUUUUGAAAUAUUUUAUAUGUGAAUAUGUGUUGAAUAGGUACAGCAACUUAGAGGGAACUGGUGUUGAUUUCAAUUAAGCGAUUAUGAGAUUUCAAGAAUUGAUUGGACCUAUUAUAGUUCAUGGAUAUAAGCACGUGAGUUAACUCAAGAGUGAGUAUUAAUAAUUACUAUAAUUGAUGUGUGGUCAUGAAGUAAGAAGUUAGUAAACAAAUCUGGUCUAAGGAUGAGCUUGAACUUUGCUAUGCAUAGCAAAAGGGAAGCCAAGGGAUUAAAGGACUAGAUGUGGAAUUGGCAGCUUGAGGAUAAAUGACUUGAAAAUGUCAAAUCUAGUCUAAGUGCCAUAUGAAGUUCUAUAAUUGAGAUUGAUAUACGAAUUACUUGAAAGAUCAAUUUCAAAGUUUAUUAGAUUCAAAGUGUGGCCUAUGAUACGAAUGAUUAGUCUUGAAGGUGAUCUCUCCAGAGUAUGGAAUUUAGAAAAUGUUGAUGUUUGGAUAUACUCUAAGAGAGAGAACUUCUGCAUCCUAAGGUUCGAACAACUUUGAUCUUAUGAUCGCAAAGGCAAGGUGUAAUAACUAAGUAAAUUAUUCACUUAAUAAAUGUGAUUGGUUAUUGAUGAAUAAAGUCAAGAUCUUAACAUUUAGUGGUAUACAAUUUGAUAAUUAUGUAUUUAAGAGUUAUUUGGAGACAAUUCCUUCAUCAAAUUUGCACUAAAUGGUAUGGUAAAGGCAUAUCAAUGUUAAUAUGNNNNNNNNNNNNNNNNNNNNNNNNNNNNNNNNNNNNNNNNNNNNNNNNNNNNNNNNNNNNNNNNNNNNNNNNNNNNNNNNNNNNNNNNNNNNNNNNNNNNNNNNNNNNNNNNNNNNNNNNNNNNNNNNNNNNNNNNNNNNNNNNNNNNNNNNNNNNNNNNNNNNNNNNNNNNNNNNNNNNNNNNNNNNNNNNNNNNNNNNNNNNNNNNNNNNNNNNNNNNNNNNNNNNNNNNNNNNNNNNNNNNNNNNNNNNNNNNNNNNNNNNNNNNNNNNNNNNNNNNNNNNNNNNNNNNNNNNNNNNNNNNNNNNNNNNNNNNNNNNNNNNNNNNNNNNNNNNNNNNNNNNNNNNNNNNNNNNNNNNNNNNNNNNNNNNNNNNNNNNNNNNNNNNNNNNNNNNNNNNNNNNNNNNNNNNNNNNNNNNNNNNNNNNNNNNNNNNNNNNNNNNNNNNNNNNNNNNNNNNNNNNNNNNNNNNNNNNNNNNNNNNNNNNNNNNNNNNNNNNNNNNNNNNNNNNNNNNNNNNNNNNNNNNNNNNNNNNNNNNNNNNNNNNNNNNNNNNNNNNNNNNNNNNNNNNNNNNNNNNNNNNNNNNNNNNNNNNNNNNNNNNNNNNNNNNNNNNNNNNNNNNNNNNNNNNNNNNNNNNNNNNNNNNNNNNNNNNNNNNNNNNNNNNNNNNNNNNNNNNNNNNNNNNNNNNNNNNNNNNNNNNNNNNNNNNNNNNNNNNNNNNNNNNNNNNNNNNNNNNNNNNNNNNNNNNNNNNNNNNNNNNNNNNNNNNNNNNNNNNNNNNNNNNNNNNNNNNNNNNNNNNNNNNNNNNNNNNNNNNUGAAAGCAAGCACUAAGUUAUGUGGUUAUAAAAAGGAAGCUGUAAGCUGAGAGUGAUAUUCAUAUUAACAUUGAAAGGUACUUAAGGAGAAUCUAGUUUCAAGUUUUGCAAUUUCAAGUGCAAUUUAUAAAUUGGCUAAGGGAGAAUGAUGUUUUGUUCAUAUGAAAGAGUGAAACAAAAGAUGAUUGAAGUUGACCUUGAUAAUGAAGUCAGAUAAUGAAACUUUCCUAAUAUAUUAUGGAAAAUUGGAAUUCAAAAAUGCUCGAGGCAUACAUGAUUCAAAUGAGUCUGAGUCUUAAGUGACAAAUCAAUAUCGGAAUGCAAUAAGGAUACAAUAUAUGGAAGAGGCAUGAAAGAUAAUCGAGGAAAAAGGAUGACUCUUUGGAAUUGUGGUAUUGCAUACGAUGCAAUGAUCAAGUUAAGAUAAAUCUUUGAGGCAUCAAUGGAAUUAUAAAGCAUACACGCAUAAUAGAUUAUAAUUCAAUGGAGAUGACAUUAUGAUGCAAUGAUAUAUAGUACAAGGAAACUUAAACAUAUAGUUGGAAAUGAUAAGAAGAGAGUAUAAGUAUGUAAAUGAUGUGGAACUAUGCAUAGGCAUGAUGAGAAUUUGUAUGAAUUAUGAAGAUUAUUCUAUUGAAUUUUGGUUGUGGAUGGGAAUGAACAAAGAGAAAUUAAUCUGAAGGCAUUUGAAAACAGAGACCCGUAUACAUAAUGAGAAAUAUGGACAUUUGAAUGUGUGUGUAUACGUAUGUGUGGAGUUAGUGAUUUACCAAACUAAAAUGAAUAAUGGUUUUGGUGGUUCGAGAUUUAAACUCAAUCUAUUUGAUGAGUUGUAUAGAUAAUGUAGCAAUCAAGAAUCUUAUCAAAAGUUGAUUUAUGGUAACCUAAGGAAUUUUGGGGAAAUAGUUAAGGAAAUGUAAUCUAUAGUGCGAUUAAGCCAUAUGAGAUGGAUUAAUAGGAUUAAGAAGAUUGGAAAUUUUCUAAAUGCAAGAUACACAUGAAGUAUGUGGAAAUAAUUGAAGCCAUUAAUCUUCCCUAACAUUGAGGAUAUGUACAGGAAUGAGUAUGGUGUGUUAAUGAUGCCGUAAACUACACAAUAGUGUAUGAGGAUAGGAUGAAUGAAUGAAAGUCGAGAAGUUUGAUAUGGAAUGAAGUAAUAAGAUAGAGAUUGGUAUACAUAAAUAAGUAUAAAAUGCGUUCGAAAUUGGUAUGAUUGAGAUGGAGUUAUGGUUCAAGUUUAAUGAUAGUAAUAGAAGCAUGUUUGGUGUCUCGAUAUAAAAGAUCAUAAUUGUGAAGGUUACUGUUGAUAUGAUUUUAAAGGAUAAUAAUAGACAUAAGUGAAGUACUCGAGUUAAAUUAGAGGUAAAUAAGGUGAACAAAUCGAAAUUCCCCAUAAAGGGGAGGACAUAAGAAGUCGAGCAUUGGAUGAGAAAAUAAUAUCCCCACAUUUUCUCUGAGUUCAGUAAAUGAAAUUUUGAGGUCAAAAUUUUAUUUUAAGGGGGGUAGUGCUAUCAAGCCUGACUCUACAAUAUGUUUAUUAUGCCAUUCUUACAUAAGAAUGCAUGUUUGCUUACUUGGGUACCUCGAAAAUCGUUAAAGAAUGAUAAUGUACCAAAUGGUACAGUUAAGUUGAAUUAAGCCUCGAACUAGUCCAAAUAGAGAUUUUAAGAUGAAAUUGAGAAUUUUAAAACUCCAUAAUGACUUAAAAUGGUGAUUCGGAGUUCGAGAACCGAUUUGGAGUCAAAUUGAAAUUUUCAUGACUUAGGGGCAAAAUGAUCAUUUUGCCACUCGAGGUUAAAAUUAGAAUGUUGGAAGAAGUUUUUGAUCAAGAUUCACUAUUUAGAACAUAAUUUGAGUUUAAGAAGUGAAAAAUUUUAAUUUCAGCAUUUUUUCGAGCAUAGAGGUAAAAUAGUCAUUUUACCACCCUAGGGGCAAAAUUGUAAUUUUACACCACCCAACACUUAUCCAGCACAUGGAUUUUACCCAAUAUUAUCAUGGAUAAUUGACGAAAUUUAAGUGGUAGAGAGAGAUUGCUUAAUGGCUAAGAAUGACACAUGGACCAAUGGAAUGGUGACAUAUGUCAAAUUUAUCUCCAUUUUUUUUUAGCUUAAAAAUCAGCAUAAAAUCAGCCCAUUUCUCUUCAUAUGGCCGACCAAAGUAGGAACAAAGGAAGAAAAGAAGAACACAAACCUUAGGUGGAAAAAUUCAAGAGAAAAGUGUGAACAUUCAAGUAAUCAAGCAAUCAAAGGUAAAAAUUCUUGAUUUUGACUUGUGAUCUACCUUUCCCAUGCAUUAUUUUGCAUUUUACAUGGUUGAAUCACAUGAUUUCACAAUGGGUAUCUUGCUAGAUGAACACUUAGAGAGAGGUUUUGCUACUUGAUUUGGUUAGAUUUCAAUGUAUUUUAGUAUUUUUAGUUGAUUGGUGAUGUGUAGCAUGAAAAUCAAGCAAGAAAAAUUCAUGUUCUUCCAUCACCCAUCAUUGGCUGAAUUCUCCAUGUGAAAUAUUGAGGAUGAUUUUUAUUUUAUUUCAAGUAAUUUGGUUAGGAAUUAGUGAUUUAUGGUGUGAGAAUCAAGUAGGAAAAAUUAUAAUGUUGAUGCACCCACCAUGGUCGAAAUUUCCAAGAGAAAAUGUGAGGAUGAUUUUGCCAUAUUUCAAGUUAUUUAGUUUGUGUUUGAUGAUUUGGAGUAUUCGGAGAAAAAUGAAAUUAUUUGGAGUUGAAUUGGACGUAUUGGCCAAUUAAUCGGGUGAUAGAUCGAAUUAGGCCAAUAUUGUUUUAUUUAGGUACACAAUUGAAUUUGUGUAGAAAACCGUAUUUAGAUAGUUACCCGAGUAUUUUACAUUCCAUUUCAUGCAUUAGUAAAGAGCCUGAAAUAGAUUUAUAAUGGUAUGACACAAUAUAUUGAAUUAUGUGUCAUGUAUUGUAUAUAGGUGGUGAGCCCUCUAACAAGGGUAAAGACGUUGUGUCACAGGACUGAGAAUAAGAGCAUUUCAAACUCCUGAUACUAUGAGUAACCUUACUAUCGUCUUAAUUAUCUAGAGUAGUUUUUAUCCGAUUUUGUGAUUUUAUGGAAAAUGAGUUUAAAUGGUAAAUCUUUAUGUUUUAUAAGCAAAAUGUGAUUAAAUGAAAAUGAUUUUACAAAUUGUCUUGAAAUUGAAUGAUGGUUUUGAAAAUGGAGUAAUUGGAGACUAAAUUGUUGUGUUAUAAAUCAUGGUUUGAAUUGAAUGGCUUAUGAUAAUAUUGGAAUGAAUGGUUGAUUUAGUAAAUGUGCUGAAAAUGUAUGAAUUGUUGAUUUGCCUUGAGAGGCUGUAAAACAAAAUAAUUGCCAUGUCAUGCUAUUACAAAUUUUAUUGUAUGAUGGGUUUAGUCGCUGCAGUGGACAGGUUCCGUGGACCAGCCUAUUAGAGGGGCACCGGUAACCCUAUUAUAUUCGUACCUCAGUAAGAGAGGCACGGAUGGAUAACUCCUAAGGUUAAUACUAUAGAGUUCACUUCACGCCAAACCACCACGUGAGGGUGAACUCAACCAACGCCAAGGAACGACUAUGUUUUCAAAAUAAAAACAUCAUUUAUGCGUACAUAACUUUUUAACAGCCUUGGCGGUCUCGGUUGGGAUAACCCUCGGCCAAGGUAUCCUUGAUAACUGAGUAUGAAAAUGAUUUUGGCACGAGCCAAAGUUUUAAGAAAUUCAUAAGCCAUGUUGAUUACUUGAUUUAUAUGAAUUGAUUUUAUUUGGUUAGAGUGAGUUGAAAGGUGAUGAAUUACAGUAUGUUAAACUAUUUUAUCUGUUUCCAUUUACUCAGCUUUAGAUAUUUUAUAUGGUAUUUGUUUAGUCACUGGGAUUAUAUAAUCUCACCACCCUCAUUUUCACUCAUUUUAGGCUCAGGAUAGUCGGUAAAUAGCUCAUUUCGUUGAGGGCUACAGUUGGACUUGCAUCCUCAAAAACUGUAGGUUUACUGCUUUUGAUAUUUUUGGUCGUUCGUGGGCCCACGUGUCACUGUAAAUUAAAUUUUAUACUUUGGUUAUCUGUAUUACAGUAUGUAUGAAUUUUUGUAGCUUUUAUGUUACAAAAAUUAUUUACGUAUAACUCUAAAAAUAUUAUUUUAUAAGAAAAUGGAAUAUUUUAUUGAAUAUUUCUUUUAUUUUUUAUUAUAUCCAAAUAAUCAUAAAUUCAUUUUAAAUGAAGGUUUUAGAUGUUUAAACUUAUUUUUGAUUAUGAAUUAUGUGUUUUGUACUCGUAUACUACAUUUUUACCUAAUUUCGAGAUUUUUGAGGAAAAAUGACCAAAAUGCCCUAGUGAGAAAAAGAUUAUUUUUCUAUUGUUUUGAUUUGGAAAUAGUUUAUAAUCUCUCAAAACAUGAUACUUAACAACUGUUGCUCACAAGGGAGGUGCGAUAACUGAUAUUAAAGCCUUGCGAGGUUCCGGUUGGCAUUUCGGACGAUGAAUGUUUAUCGGGACGUCGCGACUGUUGUCACGGGCUCGAGGGGAGUACCGGGUCGUGACUGGACCAAAGCUGGAAAAAUUAGAUUUCUUGGUUAUUAGUUGAUUAAAUUGAAAAUCAAUCAGUCAAAAAGUUUAAUCUUACCUUUAGAGGCGUUUCCCAAGCUCCAAUUUACUCCAAAUGGCUCCAAAAAUCAAUUUGGGGCUUGGGUUUUUGGAGUGGUAGAGAGAGUUAGGGUUUGUUUUAAAAUGGGUGGACGGCUUAAAACUCUUUUUAUUUUUGCUUUUCCACAAUGAUGCAUCGAUACGUUUAGGAAUGUAUCAUUACAAUUACAUGGGUUUUAACCAAAUCUAUCAAUACAUUGGUAAUAUAUCAAUAGAUUUUAGGGAAAAUUCUCACUAUCGUAAAUGUAUUGAUACAUGUGGGGAAUCUAUCGAUACUUUUCCCUCUGGAUGCUCUCUACUUCAAAUCUAUCGAUAUUUUCCCUUGUAUGCAAAUUUUCAACCUUCCCAACUUCCAAAAAUCCAAAUCUAACAAUUCAAAUCAUUACCUUGCUUAAUUUUCACCUCAAGUCAUUCAUUUAGCUUAAAUCCAUAUAUAUAUAUCCUCAAACAUAACAUCAAAUACAAAUCAAAACUUCAAACCAUAGGAUUUAUCACACUUUCAUAAAAAUUUGCCUAGGUGUCAAAUGCAUACUCCCAUACACUUGGCAUGCUUAACAUAUCACAAAGUCCUCAAAGCACAAUAUAUUUCAUAAAUCAUUCUCAAUUGACUUAGUUCAUAUUCAAAAUCAAGGGUGUUACAAUUUUAACCAAAACACUAUAUCUCUAAAUGAAUUAAAAUUAAAACAGAUUCAUUAAGUUCAGGCUCUAAUAUAGGUAUAUCUCUAUCCUAUACAUAAAUCAAUUUCUUCAUCCAAGCAAAUAAAUAUGAUCAUAUGCUAUUCCAAUUUUUAGCCUACUCUAAACUCCAUUUUCUCAAGUUAUUUUAGGUUUCUAGAUCAAUUUAAUUUGUGGUCAAAUAAUUAAAAGCAUUAAGAAGAAAUUAAAAUAAACAAUCUAAUUACAUAUAAAAUAAGUAAGAAAGAAAUCAAAAAUUUAAAUUACAUGUGAGUUCAAUUGUAAUCCUAGAAAAAGAAAUUUAGGUACUCAUAAUUGCAAAAAUAAAUUAAAACAUAUGAAAUUUAGCCAUUUAAAGUAACAAAAAUAAUAAAAGCUAAGGAAGAAGAAAAACAAAUUUUGGCAGCUUUAAUCUUCAAUCUUCAACCUCCAUUUCUAUUUUCUUGAAUCUCUCUUAGGAUUGUCUUCUUAUAGCUAACUUAUCUGCAAACUCUCUUUAAAUACUCAUGACUUCACCUAAUUUUCCUUAAUCGAGCCUAAUUGGCUCUUAAUAUGGGCUUAAAAUCAGAGUAAAAUGCAUAAAACUUUAAUUAGCUUUAAACCUUUUUCUUUUCCACACUAAUUCUUGAAAUUUCCCUUCUUGACACAGCGACACAACCCAUUGACAUCGUGGCGCUCAAUUGGCUUCUUGCCUUCUCUUGUUGACUGCUACACUCUAUCAACUUCCAAUGUGAUUUUCUCCAUCCUCAUGGCAGAACUGGGCAAAGUGAUCUGCCUAAACGUUUUAGCUUUGUCUCUUAGAUUUCCAAUGGUCCAAGAGUCGCAUCAUUUGGAAAUCUGAAGCGGAGGUUAUGCUCAAAAUAUUGCAACAUGUACAAACAGGACCUUGGCUCUUUAAACAAAUUUUCAUCACCAAUUUAAGCCCUUAUUCCUUUAAGAUCCUACAAAAACAUAAAAACUAAUAAUUAAUAAUAAAACUAAAGUAAAAACAUAAACAUAGCAUAAAAGAAAACUUAAUAAAAGUAAACUAAUUAGAAAAAUAACUAAAACUUAAUCUAAACUCAAAACUUAGCUAACUUUUAUAAACGAAAUGAGACUAAAUAAUUCUAUAAAAAUAAAAUUAUCAUUCGACACAUUGUGGAGUGUAAGGACACUAGAAGAUUAGAAGGAAGGCUCUACCACACCUACCAUGAAUAAGAUGGGAUACUACUCCACAAGUCACCUAGCCAAGCAAGCUACUGAUUUGUAAAAUAAGAUAAGAAAAAAUAACGGGUGUGUCUCAAAAACUCUGUGAGUGGAUAUGAGAAGGGGACAAACCAAAAAGGAGAGUUUUUGCAAUAAACCAUACUUUGCAAAAACACAUGAUAAUCAUAUAAAUUCUUUCAAUGACAUAAAUCUCAUUUUUACAUUUCCAUAAAUGCUUUUGAAACUCAAAUUGCGUAAAAAGGCAAUAACAUAUAAAGCUCAACUUAUAAAACAUUUGUAAAGAGAAAUCGGAAAGGAGUUGUCGGACUCACGUGUUCAACAUCAUUCAUUCAUAACAUGAAUGUAUCAUCCAAUAAUGAUCCAUGUCAUCAUCUCCACAUAAACACAGUAAUCAUCAAGUCACCAAUAAUAGGUGUCAAUACAUACUAUUAACAAAGGCAAAGGGAGAAAGGGUAUUUUGGCCUAAUUCAUCCCUUGUGGUAUUCUUACCCCCACAUUAGGCUUAAAAAGGGAAAAAGUGGGAUGUUCGCCCAACUUGGCCCUAUCAUAUUUUUACCCCCACAUUGGGAUUCAUAAAGAGAAAAGAUGACACUUCACCAAUCUUGACUUUGUGGUAUUCUUACACCCACAUCGGGCUUUUAGAAGAAAAAGAGAUGGUACAUUCAUCAAUCUUGACUUUUUCAUAUUCUUACCCUCACACCGGGUUUUUAUAAAUGGAAGAAAUGGUAUGUUCACCAAGCUUUACCGUGUGGUAUUCUUACCCCUACACCGAGCUUAAAUAAAUGUAUCACACAAUUAAAUUUCAUACAAGAUCAAGGAUCAAAUAGCAAAUUAUGUCGUUUACAUAAAUCUUGAAAUAUAGGAAACCUACUCAUCCACAUUCACAUUUCUCACAUUUUAUGGGUAUUUUAUCAUCCACAUUCACUUUCUCAAAGAGAUGUUUCAUUACCCACACUAGCCCAUAGGUCAAAGUAAUUGAGGAACUUUUGAACAAAAUCAUUUUAAAGGGUUUCUCCCACCUUGUUGAAAACUAAUAUGUAAUAGAGAUAUUUACUUACAUUAUGGAUUUGAAAACCUCGUCAAAAUCAUUUAUGCAUAACCAAUCAAAUUUAUCGAUUUCAUCAUAGCAUUCAAAUUAUGCAAUAAACACCAGUCGAUAAAUCAUGCUAACUUCACCAUAAAACAUACUUAAAAAUGUGCACCCACUUACCUUUGAAAAGUCGGUUUCUACCAACAUGUGAAUCUCUGAUCUAGCAAAAUUCUUGGUGUUGCAACCAUUCCAAAACAUCCAUCAAUUAUUGUAAUCAAUAUUUAGUCUAGGAAUCACAUAAUAAUUGUUCUAGCCUAUUUCAAAACUAUUCAGGUUCACUUAAAACUAAUUUUCUAGAUUAAAUCUUUUGCUCUUCAAGUACCCAUGUAUUUAAAUCUAUAAAUUCAUCAUCCUUACCUUAGGUGAGCUCUAGACAAAAGAGAAACCCACCUAAAUCCUUUAUUUUGAAGGAAUCAAUAAAUUUAGAGAAACCAAUAGUAUUGUUCAAAGCUAAAAAGUCCAAGAUUUAAAGAUUCCAGAACAAAAAAGUCAAUUUUUCUUUUAAAAUGUAAAAGCAAGCUCAAAUCUUCUAAAAAGGGUGAUUUGGGUAGAAAAUGAGGUGAGAGAGUAUUAAGGUUGAGAAAAUACCUUUCAAAAUUGAUUGAGAGCUAUAACCCCUCAUAAAAUGUGAUAUAUUUAUAGUUUAGGGUAUGAACAUACAUUUUUACCCCUUUUAUUUUUAAAAAAUCGAUGUCAUCUAUUAAUAGAUGUGGCCAUCUAUCAAUACAUGAGCUACAGGUUUCUUUUAAAAAGCUUUCAGGUUGUUUCCUAUUAAUAGAUGUGUUCUUUCUAUCAAUAGAUAUGUCAAUCUAUCGAUAGAUGAUGAACAUCUAUCGAUAAAUGUUCUUCAAUUUUUUUUCAAAACAUUUCUAGUUUAUAUCCAUCAAUAGAUGAAGAACAUCUUUAGAUAGAUAGGUUCCGAUAAGCAAAAAUAGACUUAAAAAGUUGUCCAUUUGGAUUUCUUUUCACACUAAACAUUGUAAAUUACCUUCAUGCAUCAAAUCAAGAAUCUUUCCCAGCAUAAAACUUAGUUUAAAUGUUCCAAAAUUGGUCAUUUAGUUGCUCACCUAAGGAUUCCUUAACUUAGCAUCACACAUCAAGGUAGGAUUUCACUUAUGAAUACAAUGUUGCAAUAGGUAGAUGGAAGAAGAAAACAAGGUAGCCAAGAACACCAUCUUCACAGAAGAAAAUAGAAGCACUAACAACACCAUCUUCACCAAUCAUAGUGUCACGACUCGACACUCUCCUCGAGCCUGUGACAACCGCCGCGAUAUCCCGAUAGACAUUCAUUACCCGAAAUGCCAACCGAAACCUCGCAAGGCUUUAAUAUCAGUUUUUUCACCUCCCCUGAGAGCAACAGUUGCUAAUAUCAUAUUUUAGAAGAUUAUAAGCUAUUUCCAAACCAAAACAAUAAAAAAAAUAUUUUUCGUCUCACAGGGGUAUUUUGGUCAUUUUUUCUCAAAAAAUUCGAAACCAUCUAAAAAUGUAGUAUAUGAGUGAAAGAUACAUAUUUCAUAACCAAAAAUAAGUUUAGAUGUCUAAAACAUUCAUUUAAAGUGAAAUGAUAUCUAUUAGAAUAAAUAAAAAUGUUAAAUAAAAUAUUCCAUUUUCUUAUGAAACAAUAUUUAUAGAGAUAUCCAUAAAUAAUUUUUGUAGCGUAAAAAAAAAUAAAUUCGUACAUAUAGUAACACAAUGAGCCAGAGUUUGUAAUUUAAUUUACAAUGACAUGUGGGUCCCCCCCGAAUGACCAAAAGUAUCAAAGCCUGUGAACCUAUGUUUUUUGAGAAUGCAAAUCCAACUGUAGCCCUCGACGAAAUCAGCUAUCUACAGACUAUCCUGAGCUUGAAAUGGGUGGAAAGGAGGGUGGUGAAUUUAUAUAAACUCAGUGAGUAAACAAACAUCAUCUAAAAUAUAUAAAGUCGAGUAAAUUGAGACAACUUAAAAUAGUUCAUCGUACUAUGAUUCAUAACGUUUCAAACUCAUUUCAACUAAAUAAAAUAAUUUCAUUUCACUCAAAUAAUCAACAUGGCUUAUGAAUUUCUUAAAAAUUUGGCUCGUGCCAAAACUUAUUCUCAGGGAUACCUUAGCCGGGGCAUCCAACCGAGUCCGCCAAGGCUGUUUAAGAAAAGUUCAUAUAUGCAUAAAACUCAUUUUUACGUUUAAAAGCAUAGUCGUUCCUUGGCGUUGGCUGAGUUCACUCCCACUUGGUGGUUUAACGUGUAGUGAACUCUAAAGCUUUACCUCAAGAGUUACCCUCCGCGCCUCUCGUAUCGAGAUAAAAUAUAGCAGGGUUUACCAUGCCCAUCUAUUAGGCUGGUCCACAGAAACCCACCCAUUGCAGUAAGCUAAUCAAUAUCCCACCAAAUCAAUAAAAGUUUCGACAGCAUGACAUGGCAAUUAUAUUACUACCCAGCCUGUUAAGGCAAAACAAACAGUUCAUACAAUUUCAACACAAUUUCCAAUUCAGCCAUUCAUGCCAAUAUCACCAUAAGCCAUUCAAUUCAAACCAUAAAUUUACAACACAAUCAAACAGUCUCCAAUUACUCAAUUUCUAAAAUCAUCAUUCAAUUUCAAAAUGAUUUAUAAAACUCAUUUCAUUUAAUCACAUUUUACUUAUAAAACAUAAGGAUUUACCAUUUAAACUCAUUUUUCUAUAAAAUCACAAAAAUGAAUAAAAACUACUUUAGAUAAUUAAGACGAUAAUAAGGUUACUCACGAUAUCGGGAGUUUGAAAUACACCUAUUCUUGGUCCUCUGGCACAAUGUCUUUACCCUUGUUAGAAGACUCACCACCUAUACACAAUACACGACAAAUAAUUCAAUAUAUUGUGUCAUGUCAUUAUAAAUCUAUUUCAGGCUCUAUAUGAAUGCAUGAGAUUGUUUGGAUAGACACUUAAAGACGGUGUUACACAUUGGUUCAAUUGUGAUCAGAAUGCAUCGAUUUUCGACCUAAUUCGAACUCUCCACAUUUGAUUUAACCAAAACAUCCAAAUUGACUCCAAUUAUAUUCAUCACACUUCCAAUGUCCCAAAAUACACCAAAGCGCCUCAAUGAGCUUGACUUUCUCAUUGUUAUUCAACUUAUUUACUAAAAGAACUAUACUUUAAAAUUACCAUUUUCGAUUUCCAUCACCACCAUUCAUUAAAUUCUAACUAAAUAACACAAGAUAUCACAAGAAUCAUCAUCACUAGGUUCCUUAUGAAAUUCGGCCAUGGUGGGUGCAUAAACACUGUGGUUUUUCAUACUUGAUUUUUUUUAUACCAUAAAUCAUUAGUUCCUAACCAAAUCACUUGAAAUAAAAUCAAAUCCACCAUCAACAUACCAUAAGGAAGAUUCGGCCAAUGAGGGUGAUGGAAGAACAUGAUUUUUUCUUGUUUGCUUUUCAUGCUACACAUCACCAACCAACUAAAAACACUAGAAUAACAUGUUUUCCAACUAAAUUCAUCAUCAAAUCUUCUCCCCCUAGGUUCGGCCAACAAGGGAUCCAUCAUGAAAUCAUGAAUUUCAACCAUGGAAAAUGAGAAAGAAUGCUUAGGAAAGAUAGAUCUCAAGCUAAAAUUGAAAAAUCUUACCUUUUGUCACUUGAUUCCUUGAAAUUCCAAAAUUUUCUCUUGAAUUUUCUAACUAGGGUUUUGUUCUUUCUUUCUUUCCUCUUUUCCUUGGUGAGGCCGAACAUAUGGGAGUGAAAUGGGAGAGUCAUGUGCUGAUUUUUAAUGUAAAUUAUAAAGAAAUGAAAGCUUGCCACUUGUCACCAUUCCAUUGGUCCAUGUUUAACAUUUAACAACUAAGCUUUCUUUCACCACCACAUAAAAUAUCUCAAUUAUCCAUAAUAUAAAAUGUUAAUGGAUGAAAUCCUUAGGCAUGACAAGUGUUGGGUGGUGUAAAAUUCCAAUUUUGCCCUUGGGUGGCAAAAUGACCAUUUUACCCCUACGUCAUGAAAAUUUCAAUUUGACUCCAAAUCAAUCCUCAAACUCUGAAUCACCGUAUUAAGUCAUUUUGUGCUUUUAAAAUUUUCAAUUUCAUCUUAAAAUCUCUAUUUGAACUAGUUCGAAGCUUAAUUCAGCUUAGUUAUACCACUAGGUUUACUACUGACUUUUAACGAUUUUUUGAGGCUUUCCAAGUAUGCAAACAUAUUAUCAAGCACAUGAAUAACAUGAAAAAUAUUUUAUAAGGUUGGGCUUGACACAUAGCACCACCUCCAUCAUCAUCGGUUGAUCCACCCUUAGCUACCCAAAGUUCAUCUAGCUUGCCAAGCACCAUGUACAUGGGAAAAGGUGUUUAUCAAUACGUAAAUGGUCGGGUGGAUAAUCAAAGCAAAUUGGUUGAAGAAAGUUUUACUACAAUUGAGAAAAAGCUUGAAGAAGUAAGAACUAUAUAUGCUCUAAAAUAUCAAGACUUGUUUUAUUGUUGCUGCCAAUCAAUUGACAAAAUGAAUGCCACCAUCCUUAAGCCUAAACAGACAAUGGUACAACUUACAAACAAUCGAAGGGGCUUACCUCAUAACUAAGAGAUCUUACAUGACAAAAUAGACACCUUCUUCAUCCAUCAUAAACCUUGAAAACAUUGCUAACAGUUUUAAAAGCUCUUAUUAAUAUUCAUAGUAUUUGCAUGCAUACUCAUAAUAUCUUUUGUAUUUACUUUGUAUACUACUAUGUUCUUGUAUAUAUGGUUUAAUCCUCAAUGAAAUCUAUCUUUUGCUUUUGUACAUGUGUCAAUUCUUAUUGUGCUAAAUGCUUGAAUACGUGUGCUACUAAUCUUCUUGUGAUUUCUCUUAAGCUUUAAAAUUGUUUUAUACUUUAUUUUCCUAUCUUUUUUAUAUAACAAAAAGGGGAAGAAUAUUUAGAGUAUAUUUUCCAAGCUUUCCUUGUUUGAAAUGGCUGGAUUUAUUUGAAUUUUUUUUCUAAUUUUUUAGGGGUAUGCAUAAAUUCAAGGGGAGUUCUUCAAAAGCAAAUUUAGAUAUUAAUUUUGUCAUAUCAAAAAGGGGGAGAUUGUUAACUUUAAAAUUAAGCCUAGUUUUGAAAUGACAAAAUUGAAUGAUCUAAAUAUACUUUAAAACUAAGUAAAAAUGAUUUUGAACUUGAAAAACAAUCCUCAAAGUAUUUUGAAGUUGAUUGCAAAAAGAAAAAUUUGUUUGAAUAGUUUUUAUUUCAGGUUCCAACUAUUAGAAUCAACUUCUAAAAGUGAAGCAUUGAUUCUUUGGAAAACAAAAGUAAUAUUUUUACUCUGGGAUAGGAAGAAUUGAUUUCAUUGGAAAGGAAACAUUGAUUCUUGAAGAUACAGAAGCUACUAGAACAAAAAGAAUUGAUAUCUAAAUAAGUAAAGAUCGAUUCCUGAUAAAGCAAAAGCGAUAUGACUAACCACUAGAAGAGCAAGAAUUGACUUCUCAAGCAUUAAAUGAUCGACUCACAAAGUUGCAAAGACAAAACUAAAAAAUUUGUUGAAAAAUAAAAGAUGGAGAAUAGGACAAGAAUGGAGCAGGGAAAAGGCAAAUUUGAUUUUUCAUUUUUGGCACCCAAUUGAUGAGAACAAUGGAUGUCUCAAAGAAGUAGUGAUCAAUUCUCAUAAAAUAGAAAGCUCCGGACUUGAAGUGAGACAAGAAGAAUCGACUACUCAAUAAUGCAAUGAUCCAUUCUUGGCAAACAAAAAGCUCCAAACUCAAUUUGAGGCAAGAAAAAUCGAUAUUACAAGAGUAUAAAGGUUGAUUCUGAAGAAACAAAAAGGAUCAGGUUGUGAAAGAAUCAAUGCCUCACGUGUCCAUUAAUCGAUUCUUGAAGUUUGACUCGCACAAUUCAAGUGGUCCCAAUGUUUAAAAAAAUGGCAAAUUUCAUUCAAACGAGCAAAAGUUCAAAGGCACUAUAAGUACCUUCCUAGACGACAUCGUUUGUGAGAGAAAACACUUAAGCAACAAGAAAAGUGAAAGAGAAAAUCAUUCCAAGAAAGAAAAAAGCUAAGAUUUUUAAAGUUCACAUCUCCUCUCUUUAUUGAAAUUCUCAAAACAAAGCCUCCAUAUUUGAGCUUACAUUCUUUGAAAGAUCUUCAUUUUCUUAUGCUUAACUUAGUUCACCAGCCUCUUGAGGCAUCAAGCCUUGUAAACCGUAAAGAAUCUACUGUUAUAAAGUUAUACCUCCAUAGCAAAGGUAGAAAAGUUAUACCUUCUUUGGAAAAGGUAGUGAGUGGUUAUACCUCCAUUUAAAAGGUACUAUGGUUAUACCUCCCUUAAAAAAGGUAAUGAAUAGUUAUACAUUCAUUGGAAAAAGUAGAAAGGUUAUACCUCCAUAGAAAAGGUAGAAAGGUUAUGCUUGAUCCAUAAGAGGCAAUGAUUUGUAAAGGUUAUGCUUGAUCAUUAAAAGGUAAUUAUUUGUAAAAGUCAUGCUUGAACCUAAUUUAAAAGGUAGUAUUUAUUGGAUUCAAACUGCUUGUUUUCUCAAGGGACGUAGGCUUUGAGGGUCGAACCACUAUGAAAAUCAUGGAUGUGUAUCUUCUUCUUCUUUAUCCUCUUUACUUGCUCCAUACAUUAUUUUUAUAAGCUUUCACACUCUAGUUUUCAAACUUUCUAUUUAAAGUGUUAAUCUUUAACUUGAUUCUUAAGAAAGAUCAAAUUUUUAUUUUGAAAACCAAUUCGCCCAUUUUUAGUUAAUUUAUCUUAAGCUUCUUUAUAUAACACAAAAACACACACUCUCUCAUUCUCUGCAUUCUUGAGGCACCAUCAACAAGGCCUAAGGGUUUUAGAACUUGUAAUUUAAUGUGGAGAGUUCUAGUAAUCGUUCCAUAAAUAUAUAGAAACUAGAGAGAUUUAAAAAAUGGAAGGAAUUUAUCUUUUUAGUCCCUUGAUCUUUUUUUUUUUCUAGAUUUCAUUUUUUCCUAAAAGAGAAGCUUUGAAUUUCGACAUGAAUAACUCAAAAUAAAAUUUGAAAGAAAAACAUGAAAUACUUUCCAUAUCCAUGGACAAUGAGGGCAACAAUUUUAAUCUUGAUGGAACUCUUGAAUUUCAUAUUACUCAAUCUUAAUAUAAUGAAUUAGAUGUAUAAACCUUGCUAUGGUCAGACAUCUCUAUUUGUCUUUUGAUGUUUUUAAAAGGAUAUUUUGGGCUUUUCGCAUCACUUUUCUUUUUGUUUUCUAUUCUUCAAUUUUAUUGACCCUGUUUCCUCGCAAAAAUACAGUGAACUCAGAGUUUAACUCAAUAAACCUAGUUCUAGUUACAAUCUAGAUUAAAUGUUCAAGCCUUACCCAAAAGGUGAGUAGUUUUUGUUUGAUUUAUGAGAAAUUGGAAAAAAAUGAAUGAAUAGAAAAUUUUAGGUUUUGUGAUUCAUUUAAUUGCUAAGUAAGGAUGGCUCCAUUGGAAGUUUAUUGAUUGGGGUUUGGAUAUGGUUGUUAACCUCAUUUGUUUGCUUUUUCUAAGAGAAAUUUGCAAGCUUGGACUUAGAGAUUUUUUCAUCACCUCAUGAUGUUAGUUUAGAACAUUCACAUUUUUCCAUCUUUGUUCUGCUUCUUUAAUUCCUUUCACCUUUCGUAAAAAUAGAAAAUUUCUCUUUUUCUUAUAUUUUUAGUCAUCUAUAGGUUUGUGUAGACUUGGCAAUUCAUGUUAACGUGUCGUAAACGUGUCAGACAUGAUUAGACACGAAACACACUAAGGCUAAACACGAACACAACACGUUUAAUAUUCAUGUCUUAAAUUUAAAACACGUACACGUACACAUUUAAUACAUGUGUAACACUACACGACACGAUUAACAUGUUUAUUAAACGUGUCAGUAUAUAAAACGACACGAUUAAUAACACAUUUAACAUGUUUAACACGAUUAAAUAAAAAUAUUUAUAAUUAAAUAUAAUUUUAUUAUUUAAUUUUAAAAUCUAUAAUUAUAAAAAUAAUUAUAAUAAAACAAAAAUAAUAAUAACAUCAAAUAAUCACCAAAAGUUAAAAAUUAGGGUUGAGCAUGUAUAAUUACAUUAUACCCUUUAUAAAAUUAAAAAAACUUAUUAAAAUAAUUAUUUAAAAUUAUUUAUAUAAGGUUAAAAUAGUUUUUAACUAUUAAUUUUUAAUAGGUUAAUAAAUAUGUCACGUAUACACGUUUAAACACGAUAACACGAUUAAACAUGAUAACACGAUUAAGUAAACGUAUUUAAACGUGUUUUAAACGCAUUUGUCGUGUUAGACAUGUUAAGACACGAAUAACGUGUCAAACAUGAUUAGACACGAAACACGUUAAGGCUAAACCCAAAACCUAUUUAACCCUUGUCUUCUCGUGUCGUGUUAACGUGUCGUGUUCAAAAUUGUCAGGUCUAGGUUUGUGAAUGAUGAGAAUAAUUAGAAAAUUUUGGGUUUUUCUUUCUUCGAUGUUACAUUUGGUACUUAAUUUUCUAAUUGUUAUGCUUAUAAAACUAUUUUAUAUAUUGUGUCUGUUGUGCACCUUUAUUAUUCAAUAAUGGGAGUCCAUUAGAAAAAAUGAUGGGAUUAUAAUCUAUAAAUUUGACAUAUUUUUCCAAUAACCAUAAGCAAGUAUGUUGCUUAUGUAAUUUUGGUGGUUCUUCAUUCUAUGAAUUAGUGCAGGGUCUUGACUAAUUGUUGUUAAUUAUGUUUAGUUGUGGUUGCAACGUAUCAUUUGUUUGUGAUUAACUUUUGUUCAGUUCUUGGUAGCCCUUAAAGUGCGUUACCCUUAAUAGAUAACUAUUCUGAGGGGAAAUCAUGAGAGCUAUCAAGUAUGCUAUGUAUCUAAAUGAUUGCUCAUUAUAUAUACUUAAGCCAUCAACAUUUCUCAUAAGAGCUUAUUAAGUGGGAAUGAAUUCUUAAUGUUCUUUCCAUAAGCUAGAGUCGGCCUACACGUUUGCUAUCAUCUAUGAUUUGUCUUUUUCUUACUUUUUAUUUUGUCUAUUCUCAUUAUGUUUGUAACGACCCUUCCUCGGUCGCUACCGACGUCCGAGACUUCCGAAAUAUCCGAUCAAGUCCCGAACAAGCCUUAAUGAAAUUUCUCAAUAACUCAUUGUACACUUUUACUAAACCAUAUUAAUGUUUAAACCAUAUAUAUUCAUAAUGUGAAUUCAACAACAAGCAUAGCCAUUAAAAUUUGACUUUAAGUCAUUAUAUCACAAUACAUUGAGUUCAAAAAUCUCAAAUUUUCGUUUAUAUCAAAACUAAUAUUUGUUUACAUAGUAAAACCAAGUACUAUAACUCAAACUCUAAUAGCAGAGCGACUCAAGAUAAAAUGCUAUGAGAUGCCUUUACCUAUUUGCGAUGGACCGUACGCGCUAACGAUUACACGCUAGACCAAUCCCUGUCUGCAAAAAAGGGAAAAAGAGGGGUGUGAGUCUCACAAACUCAGUGAUCAUCGGCUCCAUGAGUAGGGCGUAGAUGGGAAAGAAGCAAAUAGCAGAUCAGUUGAAUAUUAAAAUGCAGGAUUAUAAAACCAAUUUAUUUCAAACGGGAGUUUGUGCCUUAUAUGAAAAACCGAGGAUUUCUUACGUAGUGUAACCACUUCAAUUGGUAAAUCAACCAAGGUAGAUAAAAAUUUUUGCUACAAAACAGAUCAAUAACCUUAUUCAAGUUAAUCAUUUGAAAUAUUGAAUUAAAACAAUUUUACAUAAAGAAAAUUCCGCCAUCAAGAUCAAUUUACAUUUUACUCCAAUCAAAUCAAUAUAUUCGGCAAGCUCCCAUGAAAUCGAAUGUUAAUCAAACUCAUACAUAAAUCAAAAAUCACCUCGCACUCAAAGAGUUAAAAUUCAUUUCACUGUAAAAAUAAGAGGAGCUGCAGAAAAACCUUUAAAUUUCGUUUUCACCAUGCAAAGAAAUAUGAGUUUGUAAACCCAGAAAUGCCAUUUUCGAGUAGGGAAUGAAAGUAAACCCGUUGUCCCGCUACCACUAAUAACAUCUAGGAGCAUCACUUCCACUGAAUUCCCAUGUGCCAUGGCAGUCUCACGAUCUUGGCCGACAUCAGAGAAUUAAGCGGUCGCAACCGUGUAAUCAUUUGGUGGCCUAGCCACGCAUACAUCUAUCAUAGGCCGUGGCCCCAACCACGUCUAAUCAUCCGUCGAUGACCCAAUGGUUCUCUAGCUAGAGCUCACUUGUGCAAGAGGGUCACAUUUAACCGAUGUGACAUCCGACCUACUCUCGACGCUCUCGGUUUGUAAAACCAUUUUGUAAUGGUUUUAUGUCUUUAAAAGCUCGUCUCAAAAUUAUUUCUAAAGCAUUCAACACAGGGUAUGAUAAAAUCUAUCAUUUUCUCAAAAUAUUUUUAUGCAUGGAUUUCAAAACGUUAAUUUGCAUGGUGAAUAAGCAAUAUAACCGUGAACGCACACUGCACAAAUAUAAGGCACGAAUUUUAAUAUAAAACAGUGUGAAGGGCUUGCUUCCUGAUUUUUGAAACACUUUACAUAUAAUUUAUACAUGUAUAUAUAUAUUCAAAACAAUUUUUCAAAUCAUUUGCAUUCACAAUUCUCUAAAAUGUCUACCAGCACAUGCUAUCCACAAAUUUUCGUGUUUAAAAUAAAUCAUACUUAUAGAUAUAUAUUUACGAAAAUUUUAAAAUUGGUACCCCCUACUCACCUCAUAAUAACGGGAUUACUACAUCGCUAUUGAUUCAUACGCGUGUAUAAUUAUUCCUGUUUGCCAGUCACAUACUUCGUUCGGCACGCUUCCAUAAGAAACUUUCCUAACAACAAUUUAAACCCAAUACACUUAGUACAUCAAUUCCACUUCUCUCUCUCAUUCUAUCAUAAAUCCACAUUAUUUCUCCUCAUUUCUUCCAAAUAUUUUACCAUUCAACUUAACACUCUCAACCAAAUUAUGCAUAUAAAUUCCUCCAACAACAAUAAUUCUUCACAACGAAUCAUUUAAAAUUUCUUAACUUCAUUUUAGCAUUAUUCGUAAAUUUCAUAUUUUCAUCUUUACUUUAGUCCUAUGACACCUCCUAAUAAAAUUUUUAAAUAAUGUAUUAAAGUAAUUUAAAUUUAAUUCAUAUCACUAAUAACCAAAAUUUAAUUAAACAAGUGGCUAGCUUAGAAUAAUCCAACUUCAUAAUAGGCCAAAUAAAAGCAAAGAAAAUUUUUCUUGACCUAUUUGGACUAAGUUAGUCCAAGUCCAUUUUUUUCACCUUUAUUCUCUCUUGGGCUUUUCCUCCUUUAUGGCUAUUGGGCCCUUUUUAUGGGCUCUCCCCAAUUUCUUCCUAUUGGGCCAUGCCCAUUCUUUUUUUCUUUUUUUUUCUUUUCUUUCUUCUUCCUCUUCUCCUUCCGUCUGCCUUCUUUCUCUUCUUUCCUUUCCUUUCUUCUUUCUCUCCUCCCAUCGACCUUUCUUCUCUCUCAUUUCCUUUCCUUUCCUUUCUUCUUUCCCUUCUCCUCUCGUCGGCCUUCCGUCUCUCUCCUUUCCUUUCCUUUCUUCUUUCUCUCCUCUUGUCAGCCUUUGGUUGAAUUUUUCUGCUCUCUUUCUCCCUCACAGCCAACUUCAUUCUCCUCUCUCUCUCUCUCACCACUCGUCACCCUCAUUUUCUUCUCUUCUUUUUUUUUUCUUUCUUUCUUCUUCUUUUUCUUCUUCUCUCUUCUUCUUCUUUCUUUUUUUCUUUUUUUUUGGCCGACACCCUCCAGAUUUUUCCUUUUUUUUUCUCUCUCCUCACCAUCUUUUUUAUUUCUCUCUACUUUCCUUCUUUUUCUCAUUCUUUGUCGGCCCCACCAUCAUCAUUUCUCAUCUUUUUUUAUACUAUUAUAUAUAUAUAUUUUAUAUUCAUUUACUAUUAUUAUUAUUUCUUUUAUUAAUUAUUUAUUUUACUUCCUCAAAACAAUAAAAUUUACAUACUAAUUUUCAACUUCCUUGUAUUUGCUACACAAUCUUCAAGUUUUUCAUAUUUUAAAAUUGGUUCUUCCGACACGUGUAAAAAUUAUAAUUUCUUUGUAUCUUCCUUCUCUUACACGUGUACAACUAAAACAUCGAAGUUAUUUUUCAACGCGAUAUCACCGUAAUAUUUAAAUAUUGACUUACCUGCGUUAGCUCUAUUUAAUAAAAUCACGCAGUUUCACUUACGUCAUUUAUCUCUAAAAUUCAUUCAUACUUUUUCUCCCCCACUUACAUUAGUUAUAUAAUCCUUCUUCAGACUGAUUCCCAUAAUUAAUAAAAUAUUAAUAUUUUAAUAUUAUUUUAUUCAUAAAAUAAUAUUUUAUUUUAAAAUAUUUUUCUCACCUGUAACCGCUUUUUGACACUUAGAUUUACAUCAAAUGACCUUUCGUACUAUCGAUAAGGUCUUAUUGACUGCUGAACGAGGUCACGGGGUGUUACAAUGUUGGUUUGGAACCUUCGCAUUUUUCCAUCGUUGUUCUGCUUCUUUAAUUCUUUUCACACUUUGUAAAAAUAGAAAUUUCUCUUUAUCUUAUAUUUUUGGUCAUUUGUAGGUUGUGACUGAUGAGAAUAAUUAGAAAACUUAGGGCUUUUGUUUCUUCGAUGUUGCAUUUAGUACUUAAUUUUCUAGUUGUUAUGCUCAUAAGACUAUUUUACUUAUUGUGUUUGUUAUGCAUCUUUAUUAUUCAAUAAUAGAAGUUAAUCAAUAAGAUGAUGGGAUGGUAAUCUAGAAAUUUGACCUUUUUUUUCCUAUGAUCGUAAGCGAUCUGGAAAACUUAAGGUAGAGUCUCAAGUAUGUUACUUAUGUAAUUUUGGUGGUUCUUCAUUCUAUGAAUUAUUGCAGGGUCUUGACCAAUUGUCGUUAAUUAUAUUUAGUUAUGGUUGCAACUUAUCAUUUGUUUGUGAUUAACUUUUGUCCUAUUCUUGGUAGCCUUGAAAGUGAGCCUUUCCUUUUGUAUCAGUUUGAAGUUUUAUUACUCAUGUCUCUUUCAUUCUCUAAGCUUAUGCAAGUACUUUGUAAUUGAGACAAGUCAAUAAAAUCUCAUUAGUUAUAAAAAUUUAACAUGGGCUUAUUUUUUAUUAAUAAAAAGAAUAAAAUAAUUAUAAAAAUAAUAAUUUAAAAUAAAUAAAACAAUAAAAGACACACUGAACCAACUUAAUAAAUUAUUUAUUUGUAGGACUGUGACUAUGAGUAGCUAAUUGAAUAAUUUGUCUAUUAUUAGGCUAAGACCUCUUUACCUUAAUAUUAGGUAAGGGAACCUUUGCUUGAAAUCUUUCACCAAAUAAAAAGCAAAGCUUUGCUUAAAAUCCAUAAAUAGUGCUAUUAAGUGGGAAUGAUUUGUUUGUGUUCUUUCUAUAAGCUGGAGUCGGCUUGCACUUUUGCUUUCAUCUGUGAUUUGUCUUCUUCUUACUUUUUGUUUUAUUUGUUUUCAUGCAAUGAUUAUACAUGGGUAAUGAUGGUUCUAUUCUUUGGUAAAGGUAAUACUUUUAAAACUUUUAGAAACAUUAUAUGCAUAAAUAAGGGUCAAAAUUAUCUUACCUUUUUUGUUAGGUUUGACAUAAUUUGUUUCAUUUUCUUUAUUCAUUCUUCAAUAUACUCUUAUGUUGAAAAAUUAGUGAUAUUUUGUUCCUGAGCAUUAAAUCCAUUUUUUAUUUUUUGAUAUUCUGUUUAUUUUAAUAAUAUGGAAGGAGGCUUCUUUUAAAUGCAUUCUAUGUUUUCAUUUUGAGAUAAUUGUAUAGGUUCCAUUUUUCCAUAUGUUUAUGAACAAGAAAAAAUUGAAGGUUACAAAAUGGAAUAUACUGAAUUUAUUCUGAUUGCUUUGCUUCUAUUAUAUGUCAUCAUGAUGUUUUCUUGGACUCUAUAGUUGGGUUUAAUAGUGAAUUGCACAUUGUGUUCAAACGUCACGACCCAAAUUUCGGGCCAAGACCGAUGCGUGGGCCCAAUGGACGUAGUCCACUGAGCCCAAGCAAGCCUAUUAAUCUGACGUGUUCAUCAUUCCAUCAUAAACUGCUAAGUUUUAUUUCAUAACUUAAAAUCAAAAUAAAAUUAAAUAUUUGCCACCUCAUACUGGCAUACCAAACAAGUAUAUAUGCAUUGUCUACAACAUGUAUCUUAAUAAUCUACAUUAGGUUUAUCUAUACACAACAAAAGAGACUCGAUGUCCAGCAGAGAAACUCGACGAAUGUACAGCUACUGAAUGUCGAGGCACCUACCAAAAGAUAGAUACAAGUCUACAAAGACAUCGUGUCCUAGUUACAGGCUACUUCGUGAUCUAAAAACAUGAAGUUGAAAACGGCGACUAUAAACCCAAUGAGUGAACAAGAAAGGGAACAAGCAUACCAUAAGGAAUGUUUAACGAAAUCAUGAUGCACUCUUUUUCAAAACAAUGCAAUUUGUUUUUGAUCUUAUUAAACCCCUCAUGUAAACCCCAAAUGAGAAAAAAAUCACUUAUUGAAAAAAGUCCAUGCUCAACAAAGGAUUUGGAGAAUGAAAACCUUAAUAACAUUCAUGCGAAUCAAGUCAAUAAAUGGCGGGUCCUCGCUGUAGCGGAAAAGCAUUCUCGCUGCAGCGGAAAAGCAUUCUACGCUGCAGCGAGAAUGAAUUUUUGCUGUAGUGACACUUGAUUUCAAUUAUCAACUAACCGAGGGUUUCUUGACUAGCCGAGGGUUUCUCACUAAACCUCCUCAUAUUAAGCUUAAUUCACUUAUUCCUUAAUGUUGGAAAGUUAUACUCAAAUAUGGUAGCAAAGAAAUGGAAACUAGGGUAACAAUUGAUCAAAAUGAGGUGAAAAACAGAAAGUUUUUCGCUGCAGCAAGAUUCAAUCUCGUUGUAGCGACAUUUUGGUCAUAAAACAGAAAGUUUCUCACUGCAACGAGAAGCUACUGUACCUUCUUGCUGUAGCGAAAAUGGAUUCUCGCUGCAACGAGUUUUUAGCCAGCCUACCCUUUCAAAACCUGAGAGUUUCUCGCUGCAGCGAGAAUCAGAACAUCAAGAAAAAGGUUCCUUUUUCCCUUAAAACAAAACCAUCUUGCUAAAUAACAAAAGCAACAUGUAACACAUGCAAACUCCCAAAUUUGAACAAAUCAAAUGCUCACAUUUUUGCAUUUACAACCAUAUACCAUAUAUGUAUAUAUAUAUAUAUAUAUAUANNNNNNNNNNNNNNNNNNNNNNNNNNNNNNNNNNNNNNNNNNNNNNNNNNNNNNNNNNNNNNNNNNNNNNNNNNNNNNNNNNNNNNNNNNNNNNNNNNNNNNNNNNNNNNNNNNNNNNNNNNNNNNNNNNNNNNNNNNNNNNNNNNNNNNNNNNNNNNNNNNNNNNNNNNNNNNNNNNNNNNNNNNNNNNNNNNNNNNNNNNNNNNNNNNNNNNNNNNNNNNNNNNNNNNNNNNNNNNNNNNNNNNNNNNNNNNNNNNNNNNNNNNNNNNNNNNNNNNNNNNNNNNNNNNNNNNNNNNNNNNNNNNNNNNNNNNNNNNNNNNNNNNNNNNNNNNNNNNNNNNNNNNNNNNNNNNNNNNNNNNNNNNNNNNNNNNNNNNNNNNNNNNNNNNNNNNNNNNNNNNNNNNNNNNNNNNNNNNNNNNNNNNNNNNNNNNNNNNNNNNNNNNNNNNNNNAACCUACCAUCACAUUAACAUCACCAUUAUGUUAAUUCACAUACUAUAAACCCUAAAAGCUAUCUCUUAACUAGCUUUCAAUUGUCACUUUAAAUGGCUAUCUAUGUUCACUAUCAUAAUCACUAUAAAAUGAAUGAAAAUACUCAACAAUAAAACAGCUCAUAAUCCCAAUUACUAGCCAUUAUUCACAACUAAAAAUCAAGCUUAGCUCAUCACUUACCCUAGGGCUCCUUUGUAGUCAAAUUCUCUUCCAAUAGCUUCCAAAUCAAUGGGGUAAUUCUCUCUUUCUCUCUCUAGAAUGCCCAACUAGUGAGAGAAAGUAUGAAAAUAAGAUUUAUCAAGGGUUUUGACGUGAGAGAGUGAAAGAAUACAAGGGUUCUAGUCAAAAGGGCUCAAAGGUAUGAAAACUAGAGCUAGAGAGAGAAAAUCAUGCAAGUUCCAUAUCAAGCUUCCAUAGAGGUUGGAAGUAACGUGAGAUGGAAGAAGAAGAAGAAGACAAGGUGCUGGAACUUCAAGAAGCUGCUGGAAGGAGAAGAUAUUUAUAACCCAAGCUGCUGGAACUUCAAGAAGCUGCUGAAAGGAGAAGAUAUUUAUAACCCAAGCUUAUCUAUUCCCUUAAAAUUACCAAAUUGCCCCUCCACAAAUUAGCUUAAUCUCCUUUAAUCUUCUAUGCAAUCUUUUUGCUCUUUUGACACUAGGACAAGGUCCAUAAUGGUCUAGACAUGCUCGGGUUCAUGAAAACUUAAAAUUCUAACCUGAGGCGAAAAAUGACCAUUUUUCCCCUUUUGUGAAAAUCAUCAAAAUUUUUGUUUCCUUGUCAUUUUACCCCUAAUUUCACCAUCCAUUUAUGCCUUAGGCCUACUUAGGCUAUAAUAUUGUUUAAAAAUCUUACUUUUAUGGGCUAACUAAGGAAAUAAUGAAAUUACCCCUGAUUAGGGAUAUCGCAUAUACUUCCCUUUACGAGUCUAUAAAGGUCAAGGUCUCACAUUCUCCCCCACUUAAAGAAAUUCGAUCUCCAAAUUUAAAUUAAACUAUAAGGUGACUUACCUCUAAGUAUCAAAGAGAUGGGGAUACUUUGUCUGCAUUUCCUCUUCGGCUUCCCACGUUACCUCUUCACUAGUAUGGUUUUGCCACAACACUUUCACUGAUGCUACUUCCUUUGAACGGAGCUUUUUGACUUGCCGAUCGAGGAUAGCUAUCCGUUGCUCCUCAUAGGUCAAAUCAUCUUUUAGUUGGAUGGUCUCAUACCGUAUUCCAUGAGAGGGAUCCGAGUUGUACUUCCUAAGCAUGGACACAUGAAACACGAGGUGAAUAUUCGAGAGGUCUGGUGGUAGCACCAAACGAUAAGCCACCGCUCUAACCCUUUCUAAGAUCUCGAAGGGUCUUAUAUAUCGAGGGCUUAAUUUUCCUUUCUUGCCAAACCUCAUUACCCCUUUAGUUGGUGAGACCUUCAGGAAUACGUGAUCUCCCACUUGAAACUCUAAAGCUCUCCGUCUAUUAUCAGCAUAUGACUUCUGUCUACUUUAUGCUAACAAGAUCCUCUGUCGAAUCAUAUGUAUCUUUUCAAUGGCAUCCUGCACCAACUCAAGCCCCAAAAGUUUCUUUUCUCCCACCUCUAGCCAUCCAAUAAGUGACCUACAUCUCCAUCCAUAUAAUGCCUUAAAUGGUGCCAUUUGGAUGCUAGUUUAGAAACUAUUAUUGUAGGUAAAUUCCACUAAGGGUAGAUAUUGAUCCCACCUGACCCCAAGGUCUAUCACACAGGCCCUCAACAUAUCUUUCAAUGUCUGUAUCGUCCGUUCAGACUAUCCAUCAGUCUGAGAGUGGAAAGCUGUGCUGAAGUCUAACUUAGUGCCCAAUGCUCCCUGCAACUUUCCCCAAAACCUACUGGUGGACUGAGUUCCUCUGUUUGAUACUAUAGAAAUGGGGAUACCAUGCAACCGUACUAUCUCAUCCAUAAAAACUCGAGCGUACUGGGUAGCCCCGUAAAUAGUCUUAACUAGAAGAAAAUAGGCUAACUUCGUUAAUCGAUCUACUAUGAUCUAAAUCGAGUCGUAGCCCCUACUAGCUCGAGGUAAACCCGUUACAAAAUCCAUGGCAAUAUGCUCCCACUUCCAUUUGGGCACUAGUAAUGGCUAUAAUAGCCCUGCAAGCCUCUGAUGCUCGGUUUUAACCUGCUGACAAACUAGGCAUUUGGAAACGAACUCAGCUACAUCUCUUUUGAGUCUUUCCCACCAAUACACCUCAUUCAAAUCUUGAUACAUCUUUGUAGCCCCUAGAUGUACCACAUAGGCUGCCAUGUGAGCUUCCUCUAAUAUUUCUCUCCUCAACCCAUCACCAUCAGGCACAUAAAGUUUGGUUCCAUACCUCAACACUCUAUUUAUGCCUUUGGUAAACGUCUUCCCUUUCCUUCCUUGAGGGUCCUCUAAGGCCUUAGCUACGAAAUCAUCUUUACCUUAUGCUUCUUUAAUCCUGUCCAUUAAGAUAGGUCGCACUCUAAAAUGUGCUAGCAAUGCAUUUGCCUCUGAAACAUCUAAAUGCACUCUCAUGUCUCCCAAGCUAUGAAUCUCCCUAAUCAAGAACCUUCUAUCUAUGGAGAUAUGUGCCAGACUUCCCAUCGAUUUUCGACUCAAGGCAUCAGCCACUACAUUUGCCUUACCGAGAUGGUAGAGAAUAGUACAAUCAUAAUCCUUUAGUAACUCCAUCCACCUACGUUGCCGCAAGUUAAGAUCCCUCUGCUGAAAUGUAUACUUUAGGCUUUUGUGGUCUGUAUAUAUCUCACAAGUCUCACCAUACAAGUAAUGCCUCCAAAUCUUUAAGGCAAACACGAUCUCUACCAUUUCCAAAUCGUGUGCGGGGUAAUUCUACUCAUGCCUUUUAAGUUGCCUUGAUGCAUAUGCAAUUACCUUCCCUUGCUGUAUCAAUACACACCCUAUAGCAACCCGUGAUGCAUCAAAGAAUACCGUAUAACCCCCUAUGCCUUACGGUAGGCUUAAUAUUGGAGCUGUGGUGAGACAUGCCUUAAGCUUCUCAAAGCUAUCCUCACAAGCAUCAGACCACUCAAAUUUUGUAUCCUUACGUGUCAGCUUAGUUAGAGGGGCAAUUAUUUUAGAGAAGUCCUUCACAAAACGACUAUAAUAGCUAGUCAAACCCAAAAAGCUUCUAAUCUCUAUAACUGAUGUUGGCCUUGGCCAUUUUUCCAUUGCCUAAACUUUCUUUGGAUCAACUUGUACCCCAUCCUUAGAUACCACAUGUCCCAAGAAUGCAACGCUUUCAAGCCAAAACUCACACUUAAAGAACUUGGCAUACAAUCGAUGUUCUCUCAAAAUUUAGAGCACUAUCUUAAGAUGCUGCUCAUGCUCCUCUCUACUCCUCGAGUAGAUCAAGAUAUCAUUAAUAAACACUACCAUGAAUUUGUCCAAAUAAGGCUUGAACACUCGGUUCAUCAAAUCUAUAAAGGUUGCAGGAGCAUUCGCGAGUCCAAAUGACAUCACUAAAAACUCAUAGUGCCCAUACCUUGUUCGAAAUGCGAUCUUUGGUACAUCUUCAUUUCGGAUCCUCAACUGAUGGUACCCAGAUCGUAAAUCUAUCUCAGAGAAACAUUGUGCUCCUUGUAGUUGAUUAAAUAAAUCAUCUAUCCUUGGAAGAUGAUACUUAUUCUUCACUAUCACUUUAUUAAGCUGUCGAUAAUCAAUACAUAGCCUAAGUGACCCGUCUUCCUUCUUCACAAAUAACACCGAUGCUCGCCAUGAGGAUACACUAGGAUGGAUAAAGCCUUUAUCCAGCAAAUCUUCUAAUUGAUCCUUAAGCUCUUUAUGAAAUGCCCCAUACUUUGAUAUGGUGAUAAAUAAAGUUGGUCGGAUGCGAAUUGAGAAAUAAUAAGGAACUUUGGGAACCAAAGAGACAAGAUAAAAUUUUUAGAAUAAAAUAAUAUUUUAUUAAUGAAAUAAUAUUAAAAUAUUAAUAUUUAGCCGGAUGUCGAAAUCAGUAAUGAAGAAGGAUCAUAUGGUUGAUUAAAUUAGGAGAGAAAAUGUCAAGCCUGACUCUGUAAAAUACUUGUCAUGACAUACAUGUGAUUGACUGAAUGUUUACAUACUAGGAAAGCCUCGAAAAAUUGAUAAAAGUUGGUACUGUACCUAAAGGUACAAUAAAGUUGAUUUAAGCCUCGAACUAGAUCAAAUAGAGAAUUUAAGAGGAAAUUAAGAAUUUUAAAGUCCCAGAAUGGUUUAAUAUGGUGAUUUGGAGUUCGAGGAUCAAUUUGGAGUCAAACCGAAAAUUUCACUAUCUAGCAGCAAAAUGGUAAUUUUGCUACUCAAGGAUAAAAUGGGGAAUUUUUUUCAAAGAUUUUGAUCAUAUUUGACUUAUCGGAGUGUGAUUUGAGGUUAAGAAGUGAAAAAAUGUAACUUCAGUAUUUUUCGGAGUAUAGGGGUAAAAUGGUAAUUUUACCACCCUAGGGGCAAAACAGUAAUUUUUCACCACCAGAACACUUGUCCAGCAUAUGGAUUUUAUCCAAUUUUAUCAUGGAUAAUUGAAGGAAUUUAUAUGGUGGAGAGAGAAAGCUUAAUAGUUAAGAAAUAAAAAUGGACCAAUGAAAUGGUGACACCUGGCAUAUUUAUAACCAUUAAAUAUGUAGCUUUAAAAUUAAUACAAAAUCAGCCCAUUUCUCAUUGAUAUGGCCAGCCAAAGAAGAACAAAGGAGGAAAGGAAAAAAAAACAAGAACCCUAGGUGGGAAAAUUGAAGAAAAAGUGUGGGAUUUCAAGGGAUUAAGUUAAUAAAGGUAAAAUUUCUUGAUUUUGACUUGUGAUUUACACUACCCAUGCUUUCUUUUUCAUUUUCCAUGGUUAGAUUUCAUGUUUUCAUGGUGAAUUCAUGGUUGGGUGGAAUGAGUAUGGAGAGAGAAUGAAGUUGGAUUGAUUUGAUUCUAAGUUAUGUUAGUGUUUUUAGUUAGUUUAUCAUGUCUAGAAACAAACCAACAAGAAAAAUUCAUUUUCUCCCAUUAUCUAUCAUUGGCCGAAUUUUCUAGGGAGGAUAUUGUGGCUGAAAUUGAUGAUAUUUCAUGAUAUUUUGGUGAUAUUUGAUAUUUGGUGAGGCUAGAAUUAAAUGGGAAAUUUUGGUGUGAAAAUCUGAAUUUUUGCUUAACGUAUAGACAUGUGUGAUUAUUGAUCCAAGACUGAUAAAUUGAAUCUCAUUCACAGUCACUGAGGUAAUUUAGGUAUAACUGGAGUGUAGAAAGUGAGAAGAAUUGAUUUGGAGUUAAAUUGGAGAUUUUAACCGAUUAGACCGAGUAUAGUGUGACUUAGGUCGAAUAUCACAUUUAAGUGAUUAAUCGAACAUUUUGCAUCCCAUCGCAUGCAUUGAUUUAGAUUUAGAGAGCCUGAAAUAGUUUAUGAUAAAUUGACACAAUUUAUUGAAAUUCAUGUCACGUAUGAUGUAUAGGUGGUGAGCCCUCUAACAAGGGUAAAGAGAUUGUGCCCAAAGACCGGGAAUAGGAAUAUAUCGAACUCCUAGUACAAUGAGUAACCUUACUAUCGUCUUAAUUAUCUAGAGUGGUUUUUAUUCGAUUUUGUGGAUUUUAUGGAAAAUGAGUUUAAAUGGUAAAUCUUUUUGUUUUACAAACAAAACGUGUUUAAAUAAAAUGAUUUUAUAAAUUGUCUUGAAAUUGAAUGAUGACUUUGAAAAUAGAGUAACUGGAUACCGCUUGAGGUGUUGUAAAUUCAUGGUUUGAAAUGACUGGCUUAUGAUAAUAUUUUCAUGAAUUACUGAAUUGGUAUUUGUGUUGAAAUAUAUGAACUGUGUAUUUAGCCUUGAAAGGCUGUGAAUUACAAUAAUUGCCAUAUCAUGUUAUUGAAUUUUUUUUAUUGGUGGGAUAAUGAUGAGCUUACUACAGUGGGCGGGUUUCCGUGGACCAGCCUAUUAGAGGGGCACAGUAAACCCCAUUAUAUCUUACCUCAGUAUGAAAGGCGCAGGUGGAUAACUUCUUAGGGUAAUACUUUUAGAGUUCACUUCACGCCAAACCACCAUGUGAGGGUGAACUCAGCCAACGCCAAGGAACGACUAUGUUUUCAAAAUAAAAACAUAAUUUAUGCGUACAUGACUUUUUAACAGCCUUGGUGGACUCGGUUGGGAUAGCCCUCGAUCAAGGCAUCCUUGAUAACUGAGUAUGAGAAUGAUAUUUGGCACGAGCCAAGCUUUUC
rnacentral:lncRNA from 1 species